UUCAUUCCCAAACCCUAAUCUAAAUCCCCUCCCCUUCUCCUACCUCCAAUUCUUUCCAUUUUGCUGGGCUCUGUUUUCUUACCAUGAGAUCAUUCAGACUCUUCGCCUUCCCAUUUUUCAGUAUUCUACUCAUGGCGUUCUCUUAUCUCGGCCAAGCUCAGGAUCUCGCUUCUUCCCCAUCCCCUCCUCCUUCGAGUGACGGAGCUGCCAUUGAUCAAGGAAUCGCUUAUUUUCUCAUGCUGGUUGCGCUCGCGAUUACUUACAUGUUCCAUUGAUUUGGGAUUAUUUUGAUCCCCUGAUUCAUUUUCCAGUAUUCUUUUUCCUCCAUACUUAGUCGAGGGAAUUCCGAUAUCUUUGUAUUGUAAUUAGCAAUAAAAUUGAUAUUCUUUCAUCACUCCAUUGUUGCAAUUUAACGAUAAGGUUAUACUCUUUCAUUUGUCCA